rnacentral:rRNA from 1 species
GACGAACGCUGGCGGCGUGCUUAACACAUGCGAGUCGUACGGUAAGGCCCUUUCGGGGGUACACGAGUGGCGAACGGGUGAGUAACACGUGAGUAACCUGCCCACAACUUUGGGAUAACGCUAGGAAACUGGUGCUAAUACUGGAUAUGUGCUCCUGCUGCAUGGUGGGGGUUGGAAAGCUCCGGCGGUUGUGGAUGGACUCGCGGCCUAUCAGCUUGUUGGUGGGGUAGUGGCCUACCAAGGCGGCGACGGGUAGCCGGCCUGAGAGGGUGACCGGCCACAUUGGGACUGAGAUACGGCCCAGACUCCUACGGGAGGCAGCAGUGGGGAAUAUUGCACAAUGGGCGCAAGCCUGAUGCAGCAACGCCGCGUGCGGGAUGACGGCCUUCGGGUUGUAAACCGCGUUCAGCAGGGACGAAGCUUUUUGUGACGGUACCUGCAGAAGAAGCACCGGCUAACUACGUG